GACGAACGCUGGCGGCGUGCUUAACACAUGCAAGUCGAACGAUGAAGCGGUGCUUGCACCGUGGAUUAGUUGCGAACGGGUGAGUAAUACGUGAGUGACCUACCUUUGACUCUGGGAUAAGCCUGGGAAACUGGGUCUAAUACCGGAUACGACCAAUCUCUGCCUGGGGUGUUGGUGGAAAGCGUGAUGGAGUGGUUUUAGAUGGGCUCACGGCCUAUCAGCUUGUUGGUGAGGUAAUGGCUUACCAAGGCGACGACGGGUAGCCGGCCUGAGAGGGUGACCGGCCACACUGGGACUGAGACACGGCCCAGACUCCUACGGGAGGCAGCAGUGGGGAAUAUUGCACAAUGGGCGCAAGCCUGAUGCAGCGACGCCGCGUGAGGGAUGACGGCCUUCGGGUUGUAAACCUCUGUUAGCAUCGAAGAAGCGAAAGUGACGGUAGGUGCAGAGAAAGCGCCGGCUAACUACGUG
rnacentral:rRNA from 1 species